AGAAAAUCAUUGAUGUCUUGAUGUCACGUGGUGUUGAGCCCGAAGUUGACAAGUACCUAUUCUUAUUCCUAAAAUUUAUGGCUUCUGUAAUUCCAACAAUUGAGUACGAUUACACCAUGGACUUUGAUCUUGGUAGCUCCAGCAAUUGACCAAGAUGGUAGCUACUACUUUAAAGGGC